GAUCGAGAACAUUCGAGUAGCGGAGUCGAGAGACUUCUCGUCCGAUGCCCUACCCAUCAUCCCGACCCUUGCUGUCUUCGACUUCCAGGGUUCACAUUACCAACGUCGCCAUGCCCUACUGAGCUUGUCAUCUGAUGCAUAUGGCGUGGUACUUACCAAGGCACCCUAACAGGUAAUUCGCGGUGCACCUCAACUCUGCGAGGGAUCCAUGGCUUUCGCCUUAAACUACUUCCAAUAAAUCAGUAUUUCGAACGAAAAGGAUUCACGUUCUCGAUCGAAACCCCUAUAAAUGGAGAGGGAGCUACUGCUUCUUUGUAACAAACAAUAGGGAGCAGAGGGCAUCUUCUUCUUGCUCUUCCUCUUUAUUCGAUCCCCCAAUCUAUUCCACUCACCUCUUUCUUGUUCCGCUUCUGCCGAACGAUCGACAACUUCUCUCACGUACUCCCAUGGUUUCCCGGUCCUUGAUGGCUCUGUUUCUGUGACUUUGCUCCCCAACCCCAAUCUGUUACUGCUUCCCUCACUUCUCCCGUCAAUUCCUUCACCGAGUUGGAGGGGUUUCCGAUCCAACCUUUCUGCAUUCUUUUGCACGAACAGAAUUGGGGCAUGCGUCUGAUUCAAACAUCUUUCCGUCUGUUUUCAUCAAUUUGUUGCUAAUGCAUCCCGUUGCACAAAUAGAAUUGCGUUAUGUAUUCUGAUUCAGACAUUUUUCCGUCCGUUCAUAUAGUUGUUUGGUGGUUACUUAGCCUCCUCCACAUCGCCCGAUCUCCGUAAGUAAGCCACCCAUCCUCCUCCUCCUCAAAUUGAGUUUCAGGAUGCGCUCCGCCACCGUUAUUGGGAUCAGCCAGACCGAUUGAUCCCGCAAAGCGGUCGCGGCAGAUGUCCGGCGCUACCAAAGCGGUAGAAGAGAGAAUUCUCUUCCCGGCAAAGAUGGAGGAGGCGGCGCCAGCGUCGGAUGGCGAACAGUGGCGACGGCCAGGCGGUUGUAAUCCUGUGAAGAAGCCGGGGCCAGUGUCCAUGGACCACGUCCUCCUGGCCCUGCGCGAGACCAAGGAGGAGAGAGAGGUCCGGAUCCGGAGUCUUUUCAACUUCUUCGAUGCGGCCGGCGUCGGCCAUCUCGACUACGUACAGAUCGAGGCCGGCCUCUCCGCCCUUUGCAUCCCCGCCGAGUACAAGUACGCCAGGGAUCUACUGAAGGUGUGCGAUGCCAACCGAGAUGGUCGUGUUGACUACCAGGAGUUCCGGCGCUACUUGGACGACAAGGAGCUCGAGCUCUACCGCAUCUUCCAGGCCAUUGACGUCGAGCACAAUGGUUGCAUCUUGCCGGAGGAGCUCUGGGACGCACUCAUUAAAGCAGGGAUUGAAAUUGAUGACGAGGAACUUGUCCGAUUUGUGGAGCAUGUGGAUAAGGAUAAUAAUGGGAUAAUAACUUUUGAGGAAUGGAGAGAUUUUCUUCUGCUUUACCCUCAUGAAGCAACUAUUGAAAACAUUUAUCAGUACUGGGAAAAAGUUUGUCUUGUGGAUAUUGGUGAACAGGCAGUUAUUCCAGAAGGGAUAAGUAAACAUGUAAAUGCAAGCAAAUACUUGAUUGCAGGAGGGUUAGCUGGGGCAGCUUCUCGUACAGUUACUGCUCCUCUCGAUCGUCUUAAGGUAGUUUUGCAAGUACGAACAACACAAGCACGAAUUAUGCCGGCAAUAAAAGACAUUUGGAGAGACGGUCGUUUCUUGGGUUUUUUCAGAGGGAAUGGCUUAAAUGUAAUGAAGGUUGCACCAGAAAGUGCAAUAAAAUUUUAUACAUUUGAAAUGCUAAAAGAUUUCAUUGUCACAGCCAAAGGUGAAGAGAAGAGUGAUAUUGGGGCUUCUGGGCGACUGAUUGCUGGUGGUUUAGCAGGUGCAGUGGCACAAACUGCUAUAUAUCCACUUGAUCUUGUGAAAACACGAUUGCAAACUUAUGCCUGUGAAGGUGGUAAGGUUCCCAACCUUGCUACUCUGACAAAAGAUAUCUGGGUUCAUGAAGGACCUCGAGCCUUCUACAAAGGUCUCAUCCCAUCUCUUCUUGGAAUUAUUCCAUAUGCAGGAAUAGAUCUUAGCGCAUAUGAGACCUUGAAAGAUAUGUCUAGAACAUAUAUUCUGAAGGACAGUGAACCGGGUCCACUUGUGCAACUAGGGUGUGGAACUAUCUCAGGAGCUCUUGGAGCAACAUGUGUCUAUCCUUUGCAGGUUAUUAGAACAAGAAUGCAAGCCCAGCACACCAAUUCAUCUUCUGCAUAUAAUGGAAUGUCUGAUGUGUUCUGGAAAACCCUUCGAAAUGAAGGUUUUUCGGGAUUCUACAAAGGGAUAAUUCCAAAUCUGCUCAAAGUAAUGCCAUCUGCUAGUAUUACUUAUCUUGUUUAUGAGACCAUGAAAAAGAGUCUAUAUCUUGAUUAGACAACUAUUUGGUUUUGCUUCAUUUCCACCAUAAUUGACAUGACUGACUAUAAAGUACAUGAUGAUGAUGAAGAGGAGAAGAUUACAGAUUUGAGUAGGUGAUACGAUUGUUUCAAUUGUAUCAUGGUAUUUUUCUUCACAUAUGAAGUGAAGGUUGUCUGAACAACUCUUUUUACACUUCUCUUUGGAGAUAAUAAUAAAUGAGUUAGCUUUUUCAGGAAUGAUGAGUUCUUAACAUUUUCGUGAUCAAAUAUAUUAGAGAUUUUAAAGAAGAUGAUUCAUUGCAGUCUUGGAGGCACUUUGUUUGAUGGUCUUGCUCUGAUGUGAUCUCAUCAUCCAAAGGUUUUAUGAUAAUAUGGAGUUCAAAUCUUGACAAUCUUGCGACUGACUUCUGAUCGAAAAAUGGAAAACUAUUGCUGAAUCAUUUUCUAAUAGUAACAAACAGAUCUAUGACAUUAUAUGAGAGUGCAGUGCUCACUAGCUUGUAGAACAUAACCCAAGAAGGAAACUGGUUGUGCUAGGUGACGUAGCUUCCAAGAGUAUAUUUAUUAUUUAACACUGAUGUUGUAUUAUUCAUACAUAGCAAGUAUAAUGUCAGGAGGUUAAAUUCAUGACCAUCUAAGUUGGUUUCACUGUA